UGCGCAGGCGGAAUAUUAAGUCAGUGGUGAAAUCCUGCAGCUUAACUGUAGAACUGCCAUUGAUACUGAUAUUCUUGAAUGUAGUUGAGGUGGGCGGAAUGUGUAAUGUAGCGGUGAAAUGCUUAGAUAUUACACAGAACACCGAUUGCGAAGGCAGCUCACUAAACUAACAUUGACGCUGAGGCACGAAAGCGUGGGGAGCGAACA
rnacentral:rRNA from 1 species